GUAUCUAAUCCUGUUCGCUACCCACGCUUUCGUCCAUCAGUGUCAGUUGAUUAUUAGUAAUCUGCCUUCGCAAUUGGUAUUCUAUGUAAUAUCUAUGCAUUUCACCGCUACACUACAUAUUCUAACUACUUCAUAAUAACUCAAGAUAACCAGUUUCAAAGGCAAUUUUACAGUUGAGCUGCAAGAUUUCACCUCUGACUUAAUUAUCCACCUACGGACCCUUUAAACCCAAUGAUUCCGGAUAACGCUUGGAUCCUCCGUAUUACCGCGGCUGCUGGCACGGAGUUAGCCGAUCCUUAUUCUUACAGUACCGUCAAGCCUCUACACGUAGAGGUGUUUCUUCCUGUAUAAAAGCAGUUUACAACCCAUAGGGCAGUCUUCCUGCACGCGGCAUGGCUGGAUCAGAGUUGCCUCCAUUGUCCAAUAUUCCUCACUGCUGCCUCCCGUAGGAGUCUGGUCCGUGUCUCAGUACCAGUGUGGGGGGUCCCCCUCUCAGGGCCCCUAUCUAUCGUAGUCUUGGUGUGCCGUUACCACACCAACAAACUAAUAGAACGCAUACUCAUCUUAUACCGUAACCUUUACUCUAGAAGUGAUGCCACUCUAAGAGACUAUGGGGGGUUAAUCUUCAUUUCUAAAGGCUAUACCCCAGUACAAGGUAGAUUGUAUACGCGUUACGCACCCGUGCGCCGGUCGUCGGCGGAAGCAAGCUUCCCCGUUACCCCUCGACUUGCAUGUGUUAAGCCUGCCGCUAGCGUUCAUCCUGAGCCAGGAUCAAACUCU
rnacentral:rRNA from 1 species